GACGAACGCUGGCGGCGUGCUUAACACAUGCAAGUCGAACGGAAAGGCCCUGCUUUUGUGGGGUGCUCGAGUGGCGAACGGGUGAGUAACACGUGAGUAACCUGCCCUUGACUUUGGGAUAACUUCAGGAAACUGGGGCUAAUACCGGAUAGGAGCUCCUGCUGCAUGGUGGGGGUUGGAAAGUUUCGGCGGUUGGGGAUGGACUCGCGGCUUAUCAGCUUGUUGGUGGGGUAGUGGCUUACCAAGGCUUUGACGGGUAGCCGGCCUGAGAGGGUGACCGGCCACAUUGGGACUGAGGUACGGCCCAGACGCCUACGGGAGGCAGCAGUGGGGAAUAUUGCACAAUGGGCGGAAGCCUGAUGCAGCAACGCCGCGUGCGGGAUGACGGCCUUCGGGUUGUAAACCGCUUUCGCCUGUGACGAAGCGUGAGUGACGGUAAUGGGUAAAGAAGCACCGGCUAACUACGG
rnacentral:rRNA from 1 species